GACUUUACAUCCUUGAUGAUGAGACCUCCAGUAGUAGUAUCUCUAGGACUAGUUUAUUGUCUUCCUAUUUUAGGACUUCUGAACAUGACUUUAUGUUAUGACAUUUUCGUUUAAGUCAUCCGAACUUUACUUAUAUGAAAUAUUUUUUUCUCCAUCUAUUUUCUAAAAUUGAUGUCUCCUCUCUAUCUUGUGAUGUGUGUAUUGGAACAAAACAACACUGGGUUUCAUUCCCUCACAACCAUAUAAACCCACACAAUUGUUUACCCUUAUCCAUAGUGACAUUUGGGGUCCUUCCAGGGUUACCAACUCAUUUGGGAAACAAUGGUUUGUAACUUUCAUUGAUGAUCAUACUCGUCUUACCUGGAUCUACUUCAUCACGAGAAUCUGAGGUUUUCUCUAUUUUCCAAAAUUUCUUUCACACCAUUGAAACACAAUUCCAUGCAAAAAUUGCAAUUCUUUGGAGCGAUAAUGGUCGGGAAUUCCAAAACCAUUUCCUUAGUGAAUUCCAAAACCAUUUCCUUAGUGAAUUCCUAGCCUCUAGAGGAUUGUUCACCAAAACUCGUGUGCCUACACUUCCCAACAAAAUGGGGUGGCCAAUCGAAAUAACUGUUAUCUUUUGGAAGUAGUUUAUUUCCUUAUGCUAUCUACUUCCGUUCCUUCAUUCUGUGGGGAGAUGUUAUUCUUACAACAGUCAACAACUUAUUUAAUCAAUAGAGUGCUUUCUCGUAUCCUCCACCUUUAGACUCCCUUAGAUUGUCCUAAGAAGUCUUACCCUUCUACUCGUCUAAUUUUUUAGGUUCCCCUUCAUGUGUUGGGGUGACGGCCAUAAUCGGACCAAAUUUACCCCUCGAGCUCAGGCAUGUGUGUUUGUUAGAUAUCCCUUCAUCAGCGUGGUUAUAAAUGUUUUCAUCUGUCAUCCAGGAAAUACUUCGUCACUAUGAAUGUUACUUUUUGUAAGAACCGACCCUACUUUCCUGUUAGCCAUCUUCAGGGGGAUAGUGUGAAUGAAGAGUCUAAUUGUACCUUAGAGUUUAUCGAACCUACUCCUAGUACCAUGUCUGACUUCAAUUCUCAUCUCACUUGCCUACCCACAAAUCAAGUUCCUUGGAAAACGUAUUACAGGAGAAAUCUCAUAAAAGAAGUCGAGUCCUCUACUAGUCAGCCGCUGGCUCCAAUCCAAGAUUCUGAGCCUCCUCGAGAUCAAAUGGUGAUGAUAUUGAGGUAUGAGCAGGAAUCGGUAAUAAUGAAGCUGAAGAGGGCCGGGAAACUUGAUGAGUAUGAUCUCUCUUUUGACAAUCCCAUUGCUUUGAGAAGAGGUGUGGAUGUUGAUGCUGCCACAAAACGUGGAAUAAAAGUUGCAAGGAUACCAAGUGGAGUGACUGGAAACGCACUGUCAUGUGCAGAAAUGGCUAUAUACCUAAUGUUAGGCCUUCUUCGCAAGCAGAAAGAGAUGCAGAUUGCAGUUGAUCAUAAAAUGCUUGGAGUGCCAACUGGGGAUACACUCCUUGGAAAAACAGUUUUUAUCAUGGGCUUUGGGAACAUUGGUCUGGAAUUGGCGAAGCGCUUGCGCCCAUUUGGUGUAAGAAUUAUUGCCACAAAACGCAGUUGGACAGAAAAUUCUAGCCAGUUGAAUGGUGCAAGUGAGGAUCUUGUCGAUCAGAAAGGUGCUCACGAGGACAUUCAAAAAUUUGCAAGCAUUGCAGACAUUGUUGUUUGCUGUUUGUGUCUCAAUAGUGAAACUGUCGGUGUCGUGAACAAGUCAUUCUUAUCUUCGAUGAGAAAGUGUUUAAUUACAGGGUUCACUUUUGGUAAAUGUUGCUAGAGGUCGUCUCCUAGACUAUCAGUCCACUUUACAUUCCCUUGAGUCUGGUCACUUAGGAGGCUUGGGCAUGGAUGUUGCUUGGACUGAGCCAUUUGACCCCAAUGAUCCUAUUUUGAAGUUCAAUAAUGUGAUCUGCACUCCUCAUGUUGCUGGAGUUACCGAACACUCUUAUCGCUCUAUGGCUAAGGUUAUAGGGGAUGUUGCCCUUCAAAUGCAUGCUGGAUCUCCCUUGACAGGGAUCGAGUUUGUCAAUUAAUUUGUUCCACCUGGCUAGCCAGCCAGUUCAGAUGCCUUUUCUUGAUCAUUACACUUUUCAAAUUAAGCAUGAACCAACCCAUAUUCAUGUAUGCCAUAAAUGAAUCUAUAUUAUCAACAAUUUAGGAUUUGGUUUAUGUUAGCCCUAGAUUGGGAAGAAUCAGAACUUUGAGACUUAGUUUGUGGUAAUGAGAUGUUUUGAACACUAAAAAUCAAGUUAGUCUUGGGGAGAGUUAUUUAGAGGAUAAA